UACGUAGGGGGCAAGCGUUGUCCGGAAUCACUGGGCGUAAAGCGCGCGCAGGCGGUCCUCUACGUCUGGGGUGAAAGCCCGGAGCUCAACUCCGGGACUGCCUUGGAUACGGGAUGACUUGAGGAUCGGAGAGGCAAGGGGAAUUCCACGUGUAGCGGUGAAAUGCGUAGAGAUGUGGAGGAACACCGAUGGCGAAGGCAGCCUCCUGGGCCAGCACUGACGCUCAUGCACGAAAGCGUGGGGAGCAAACAGG
rnacentral:rRNA from 1 species